UACGGGGGGGGUAAGCGUUGUUCGGAAUUACUGGGCGUAAAGGGCUCGUAGGCGGCCAACUAAGUCAUACGUGAAAUCCCUCAGCUUAACUGGGGAACUGCGUGUGAUACUGGAUGGCUUGGAUUUGGGAGAGGGAUGCGGAAUUCCAGGUGUAGCGGUGAAAUGCGUAGAUAUUGGGAGGAACACCAGUGGCGAAGGCGGCCCACUGGACUGGUACUGACGCUGAUGCGCGAAAGCGUGGGGAGCAAACAGG
rnacentral:rRNA from 1 species